CGCGACACACGUUGUUUGCCGCGUCGUGCGAUAGGUUGUGCCUUCGAAGGCAUUACGAUCGCUCGUGCCGGUCAUCACGACAUAUUUUCUUUGAAAUUUCGUGUAAUUGCAAAGAAAAGUGAACCUGUGAGUGAACUUCACAUAUCAAUGUUCAUUAGUGAAUUUAUGAGGAUUUUGUGAGCUCGGAAUUUUAUACAGAUAACAAAACUCCGAGGCGCUGCAUAUCGAAAUAUAAAUGACUACGAGAUAUUUAUAGCAACAUAUAAAAAUAUUAGUAACCGUAUUGGUUAAUAUAUAUUUUUGAUAAGUAUGAGAUAUAGAUAAUAUAAGAAAGAAUAGCAAAUUAUUAUUAAUAGAAAUAAAUGUAUUCAACGAGAGAGAGCAUAUCAUCAAAUAUGGCGUUCAUAAGCAAGACUAGUUUAAGAAUUUUGUGGACCUCAGUAGUGGCCCUAAUAUUCCUUACAAGAAGUAGUGCAGCACCUACGUUUGGCGGCACAGAUAAAGCAAUGUCUAAUUAUGACAUUGACUUCCAGAUGUACUUAGCUCAAUAUGGCUACCUCAGCCCAUCUGUGAAGAAUCCCUCCAGUGGGCAUAUUAUGGACGAAAGUUCUUGGAGACGGGCAAUUGCAGAGUUUCAGAGCUUCGCGGGAUUGAAUACUACAGGUGAAUUGGAUGACGAGACAAUUAACGUGAUGUCUUUACCAAGAUGCGGUGUUCGUGAUAAAGUGGGCUUUGGCGAAAGCCGAGCGAAGCGAUACGCACUUCAAGGCUCCAGAUGGCGUGUGAAGAAUCUAACAUACAAGAUCUCAAAGUACCCAUCAAGGCUGAAUCGCGCUGAAGUGGACGCGGAAUUAGCCAAAGCUUUUUCUGUUUGGGCUGACUACACCGACUUAACAUUCACUCAGAAAGGAAAAGGACAAGUACACAUUGAAAUAAGGUUUGAGAAAGGUGAGCACGGAGAUGGUGAUCCCUUCGACGGCCCUGGUGGCACCCUUGCCCACGCCUAUUUCCCUGUGUACGGUGGUGAUGCUCAUUUCGACGAUGCGGAAGUGUGGUCAAUCAAUUCAAAACGAGGAACAAAUCUUUUCCAAGUAGCCGCCCACGAAUUUGGUCACUCGCUGGGUCUCUCCCACAGCGAUGUAAGAUCAGCUCUCAUGGCACCCUUCUAUAGGGGCUAUGACCCCGCCUUCCAGUUGGACCAAGAUGAUAUUCAGGGUAUUCAGGCUCUAUACGGGCACAAAUCUCAAAUCGACAUCGGAGGUGGUUUCUCCCAAAACCCCAAAAUCCCUCGCGCUACAACUCAACAGCCGGCAUCAGAAGAUCCCGCUUUGUGUUCCGACCCCAGCUUUGACACCAUCUUCAACUCCGCUGACGGCGCAACAUUUAUUUUCAAAGGCGAACAUUAUUGGAAGCUAACAGAAAACGGAGUAGCAGCUGGCUAUCCUCGUCUUAUCUCUCGGGCAUGGCCUGGUCUCCCUGGCAACAUCGAUGCUGCCUUCACAUACAAAAACGGAAAAACCUAUUUCUUCAAAGGAUCUAAGUACUGGAGGUAUAACGGACAGAAAGUGGACGGUGACUACCCUAAGGACAUUAGUGAAGGAUUCACGGGAAUCCCAGAUAACAUAGAUGCAGCUUUAGUCUGGUCUGGCAACGGCAAGAUUUACUUCUACAAAGGCUCCAAGUUCUGGAGAUUCGACCCAGCGCAACGACCACCAGUUAAAUCGACUUAUCCAAAACCCUUAUCCAAUUGGGAGGGAAUACCUGAUAAUGUAGACGCGGCACUACAGUAUACUAAUGGAUACACGUACUUCUUUAAGGGUGGCACAUACUGGCGGUUCAAUGAUAGGACUUUCAGUGUGGACACAGACGACCCAGCGUUCCCCAGGUCAACAGGUUACUGGUGGCUGGGCUGCAGUAGCGCCCCACGAGGGACUGUCGGAGGUAACGCAAGACUCACAGUUGCACCCGCUGAUGAUGAAGACGUCGGAGAUAUACUCUUCGACGCAGGUGUAAAAUCAUCCGCACCCAGAUCGUUCUUCUGGUUCAGGAAAUAAGUGGAUGUUCCUGAAUUGUACAUAAAAAUAAAAGACUCAAUUAGUUGUAGGGGAAAUGAAUACCAGUGAGAUUAAUUAGCGGUGAAUUUAUACCAGAUGUCAUGUCACGCGUUCUGUAUGGAGCUCAUGAUGGUGCUGGAAAUAGCGGAUUCGUGGCGAAUUCGAAUAUCUUGACUCUGGUUCUGGCUCUGACGGUAGCGCUAUGCUCUCGUGCCGCCUAGCACUGCUGCCAGACGGUCUCUCUGUGUUCAUCUGUCAUCUGCCAAGUGAUCAAUGCAACUGUCAAGUGUCAAACGUCACUAGUGUAUCAACCGCGUUCGAUAUAUUGUGUAUAGCGAAUGCUGUGCUGUGAUGAGUGCGAACUUUUUUUAUAUUGAUGCGUGAACAAUAAUUUAAUAAAAGUCAUAGUUUUUAUACUUAAUAAAUAGAUGAUGUAAGCUCGAGUGUGAUAUUGACGUUAGUGAUUUUGUAUUAAACCAUUUAAAUGAC